rnacentral:rRNA from 1 species
GAGGAAUAUUGGUCAAUGGGCGCAAGCCUGAACCAGCCAUGCCGCGUGCAGGAUUAAGGCCCUAUGGGUUGUAAACUGCUUUUGUACGGGAAGAAACAGUGCUUCGUUAAGCACCUUGACGGUACCGUAAGAAUAAGGAUCGGCUAACUCCGUGCCAGCAGCCGCGGUAAUACGGAGGAUCCAAGCGUUAUCCGGAAUCAUUGGGUUUAAAGGGUCCGUAGGCGGGCCUGUAAGUCAGUGGUGAAAUCCGGCGGCUUAACCGUCGAACUGCCAUUGAUACUGCAGGCCUUGAAUUAUUGGGAAGUAACUAGAAUAUGUAGUGUAGCGGUGAAAUGCUUAGAUAUUACAUGGAAUACCGAUUGCGAAGGCAGGUUACUAUCAAUAUAUUGACGCUGAUGGACGAAAGCGUGGGGAGCGAA